rnacentral:sRNA from 1 species
UAGUAUUUGUUGUGUAAAGAAGGUUUGU